AAUCCAUGGUGAGGACAUUUUCGCAGAUGCUCCUUGAACCUGUCCCAUGUCUCAAAAAGUGACUCUAAUUCCGUUUGCACAAAAGAAGAUAUCUCAUUCCUAAUUUU